UUAGUUAUUUACACAGCCAGAUAGAUGCAUUUAACCUUGAUGUUUCUGUUUUUUUUUUUAGUGAUGAAUUUUUGAAAUUAUAAGCAACUUAAUUGACAACAAGUUACACAAGCUGAUUGCUAGACGUGCUGUUAUAGUGGAAAUCGGACAGCAUUCAGAUUUGAUGUGAAAUAAGUUUUGGAAAAAUUGAUUUGUGUGGAACUAUCUAAGAUCCUAUUAUGUUUCUGUUUUUUUUUAGUGAUGAUUUUUUGAAAUUAUAAGGAGCUUAAUUGACAACAAGUUACACAAGCUGAUUGCUAGACGUGCUGUUAUAGUGGAAAUCGGACAGCAUUCAGAUUUGAUGUGGAAUAAGUUUUGGAAAAAUUGAUUUGUGGAGAACUAUCUAAGAUCUUAUUAUGUUUCCUGCUCUCCUGUGGGGAAAAUGCUUUUCUUGUUUCUUUUAUAACUGCUGAUUCGGUACAUUUGGUUUGUUUAUUUUCCCAUGGCAUGAAAUUGUUGUGCUCCCUGAAUUUUAUGAACGCUCU
rnacentral:lncRNA from 1 species